UAUAAGUGUAACCAUAAGUUUCCGCGUCCAACUUUGAUCGUUCGUCUUAUUUAAAAAAAAUUUAUAAUUAAUAUUUUUAUUGUUAUGAGAUGAUAAAACAUGGAUAGUACUUUACUCGUGACUUAUGUUUUUAAUUUUUUUCAAAAAAUUUUCAAAUAAGACGGACGGUCAAAAUUGGGCGCGAAAAACCAUGGCUGCACUUAUA
rnacentral:pre_miRNA from 1 species